AAAACGGAGAUGGGAGGAGCAGCCAAAGAGAGAGAAAUGUGAAACUUUGAGAGGACAGGAGGAGUUCAAGGCAGCGCUGCCAGUCUGGUGAAGGGUGUUUCUGUGUUUGUGCUGUCAUGUCGGCGAACAAGGCUCAACACUUCCCCUGUGGAGUGGAUGAGUGUAACGCAUGUCGCGGUUGGAGGCUGGAAGGCCGAGCUGUGAUAGCAUGUGGUUUGCAGGAGACUCCUGCAGUUGGCUUCUUGCAGCGCGGGAGGCUGGUUGAGAGGCCGAUCAAGGCCAUGGAAGACAAGUACAGAGGGGUCUUUCCUUUACUACAUUUAGAAGUAUUGGUUUUAAAUUUCAGAUGAGUGCUGCAAGGGGAAAAGAGAUAUGAGUGCUGCUCAGCUGAAAAAAGAAGAGAAGUCAGCGUUGGCUGCUGCAGCGUCUGUUGAUUCAGUCAUCAAUUACAGCAGCAGCAAUCGUGUUAAAUAAAAGUCAACAACUGACUAACUGCAAAACCCCGUCCAGCUGUUUAUUGAGUUCCAGGCCCACAGCAUCAGCCUGGCCUUAUACACACAUCAUUGAUCUCUAUAAGGUAUUCAAAGUCUACACGUUUGAUCAAAGCUGGUGGAGGGUGGGGAGCAGUUUUUCGGAGGCCAGUAAUACUACCUGAGGAAGAAUAAGAAGGUGGUGGUGGGGAGUCUCUGAUGCCAUGACAGAUCUGGAUCAAGAGUACCUAUCACAGAAUCAAAGUCAGCGGCAUCAAUAUUUCAUCAGAGGAGAAGCAGUCGGUCGCCGUUCACCCACACCCUCUCCUGCAACCUUCCCAACCAAAUGCUUGUUCUUCCCUGUCCUUUGCUCUCCUAUGAAGCUGCUUUUGGGUUACAGUUGCCUCGAUCAUAUUUGCCCAACCUCUGGAUUAUAGAUUCAUUUUAUUGACACCAUAUCCUGGUAGCUUACAGUGACUGCAGUGGAAAAAUAUCUGUCCCCUUACAGAUAUUUUCUGUUCUUGCUUUUUUGUCAGGCUUAUCUGUUUGAGAUCACCAAACCACAUUUUAAUAUCAGAAAAAGAUAACCUAAGUAAAUAUAAGACAGAGUUUUUGAACAACUCAUUAUCUAUUCAAAUCAACUUCGCCCCAUGUGAAAAAUAUGUGCGGACGUCUGCUGGACAGUUUUUUACGGCUGCGUUUUUACUCCAAAAAUUGCACAGCAGGAAAAAAAUCUUCAUAUUGAACUGAUUUAUAUGUGACACUGAGCCACACCGACAGGUGUGUGGUGGGUCCCCUGGUGGUGCCCAACUAGCUCAUCAAACUUGCUACUAUCUAUUCGGAAGUAUUCAAAGUGUUUCUCGCUGUCCAUCGUCUCCAUGUCCUUUACCUUGUAUUCCCCUUUUUCAUCACCUGUCUAG